AAAAAAAUUCCUUUUGAAACAUCAACCAAAGAAACAGUGAAACACACUUGCUAACUUUCGACUUUGUGUGUGCCACUUUUUGAGAGGCUCAGGUGGCAAAGAUGGCAGUGGAGAUGGCCAUCAGAGCUUCAGUCACCCCAAGACCUCAUCUUCCUCCUCCUUCUUCCUCUCCCUCACCAUCAUCAUCAUCACCAUCCAUACCUAAAUUUUCUUUCAAACCCCAAUUCAGACCCGUCUCUGUGUCACUCCCAACAUCAACUACCCUCUCUCUCUUGGCCCUCUUCACCUCUCCCUUUGAAGCCAAGGCCUUUAGCCUCUCCAAGGAUCAAAUAGUCUCUUCCCUCACUGAAGUAAGUACAUUCCAUUCCAAUGCAUGAAAAUAUUGUUAUUUACAGUGUUUCUAAUUGCUUCCCUACUUUUCAUUUCAUUUUGUUUGGCACUCAUUUGUUGAAUUUGUAUUCUUUGUUUGUUAGGUGGAGCAGACAAUUGAUCAAGUUCAGCAAGUGGGUUCUAGUGUGUUUGACAACACAGGGCGUUUUCUUGAAUCUUUUUUAAAUGCAGUUAAGCCUGGCAUAGAUGGGGCAUUGCCAAUUGCUAAGCAGGCUGGAGAACAAGCCCUGAAGAUUGCUUCUCCUGCAAUUUCUGAGGUUUCAAAGAAAGCUCAAGAAGCAAUUCAAAGUUCCGGGAUUGACACAGCGCCUGUUUACAGUGCUGCAAAGGUUUUUGCUUUGCUCAAGUUUUUACUUGGUUUGUGGUAAAAUGUACAUUAGCUAGACCAUCCAUGGCUGCAAUAAUAUACACUGUUUUAAAGUGAAUUAAAGCUUAGUGUAUAGUAGUUGAUUUCAGUUGCAUAAUUAAUUGACUGGGACUUGUUUAGUUUUGACUUGAGAUAAGUGGUUAGUGUAGUCUAAAACUUUUAAUUGGGGCAAUGUACAUUACCUGACUAUUUUUAAAACAUUAGUGAUGCAAUUCUGAAAUCUUAAAAUGUAUAACAUUUGCAAUGUGGUAGUUUUGAGUUCAAUAUGCAAUGGACUUGUUCAUCACUAGUGGAACAUUUAUACAAGUUUCAGAAAAGUAUGGAAAUUGAGAUUGUAAAUUGAAUGGAUAACAAUAAGGUGGAUUUGUACACUAUUCACCCUUUUCUUCCAAUCAAUAUGUUUAUCGAGAGGUAUAUUUGGUCGCAGACAAUAGGUGAUGCAGCAGGACAGACCAGCAAAGUAAUUCAAGAUGCCAAGCCCAUUGCUUCAUCAACUGUCGAGACCAUUUCGUCAGCAGAUCCUGUUGUGAUUGUUGGAACUGCUGGAGCAAUAUUCCUCACAUAUUUCCUUCUUCCCCCAAUUUGGUCUGCUAUCUCUUUUAACCUCAGAGGAUACAAAGGUAAGUACAAGUUUAUUGUGAUAUGAUGUUGUUUCAAGAAAAUCUAUUGAUACAUAGACAAUGUGACUCUUUCUGCUUGUAUUGCAGUUCUACAAUUCAAGUACUUAACUUUUGAAAGAUAUAAACUAGCUUAAAGCUACACAUUUUCGGUUAAUGUUAUCAUAUUGAGACUACAUGUUUGUCAUGAAGCUGUCAGUGUAACAUGCCUGUACUAAUAGCUAAUGUGCUAUGGUUGCACCACUCAGGUGCCCUCACUCCUGCUCAAACCCUUGAUCUCAUUUCGACAAAGAAAUACAUUCUGAUAGAUAUUCGAUCAGAGAAGGACAAGGACAAGGCCGGCAUUCCUCGCCUUCCAUCUAGUGCCAAAAGCAAAUUGAUUGCUAUUCCGUGAGUUGCAUUAGCCUCAAACCCUUUUGUACCUCUUGUGCCUUUGUCUGCAUGAUGACAACGAAUUCUGUUUUCCAGCUUGGAAGAACUACCAAGCAAACUGAAAGGCCUAGUCAGAAAUGUGAAGAAAGUAGAGGCCGAGAUAGCAGCAUUGAAAAUUGCUUACCUCAAGAAAGUUAACAAGGGCACCAACAUUGUCAUCUUGGACUCGUGAGUUCUUUCUUCAACCUCAUUCAUCAUUCUUGAUAAUGACUUUGGAUCAUUACCCUCUUUCUUAUUCUGCUCUUGUGUUUGUUUGGUGUACAUGUAUAGUUACUCUGAUUCAGGUAAAACAGUUGCAAGAGCACUAACCAAUCUAGGCUUCAAGAACACCUGGAUUGUAGCAGACGGGUUCUCCGGAAACAAGGGGUGGCUACAGAGUCGUUUAGGCACAGAUUCAUACAAUUUCUCCUUUGCUGAGGUGAUUUCACCAUCGAGAAUCAUCCCAGCUGCGACAAGACGUUUUGGCACCACAGUUCAGUCUGGUCGAAAGCUUCUUUCAGAUUAACUUCAUCCAAAUCUUGUCUUCCUUUUUCUCUUUCAAGACGUAUGUAGUGGUUUGUUAUCGUUCUCAAUUAGUCGAUCUAUCUGUAAAGUUAUGUAACUCAUUUCUUUCACCUUUGUCUAUAUACUGUAAUCUUCACGCUUAGAGCCUAGUGCUAUCCGAAGUUACUCUAUACAUACUUUUUUGAUAGAGAUCACACAGUUUCUCAGAGACUAAUCCGUAUCGGGAUGUUGUUAAAAUGUUAUUUUCUUACUGACUAUCAAGAAUAGAUUAAGAUUUAACUCUAAUUUACAACGGCAUGAUUCGAACCUGAGUAUGAGGGUUUACAUAAAUUUGACCACACGUGGUGGUUUACUUUCAUAUACUGAAGUAAUAUAUAUUCGAGUCCAAUAAAUGCAUAUAUUCGAGACAAUGUAACUCUCUUAGCUCAUUCUUAAUGUUAGUGAGAUUUAAACCGAAAAACCGUUAAAGCUAGUGAACAAACCAACACGUCACGACUCACUGAUAAUAUCCGUUUUCAUAAGAGACAUUUUUGCACAUUUAGAGUUAGGUAACAUCGCGCAGCAUAACGUGUCACGGUAGGUGUGCCCAUAUUUGCAAUACAAGAAAUCACAUGACCCAAAACGCAGAAAUUUCAUAACAAAACGACACACGAGAAAUUGACGAGCCACCUAAUCAACCCAGCCAAAGCCGUUAUCUUCCAGCUCAGAAUAGUCUCAUACAGAGUCACUCUCUCUCGCCGUCAUAACUACCGGCGGCGAUGGCGCACAAGAGCCUCGACACCGUUACGAUCGCCAACAUCGAAUCCCUCGGGAUUGAGCCGGAGCUCGCCAACAGACUCCAUGGAAGUCUCGCUAAGAUCAUCGCCGAUCACGGCGCUGCCUCUCAGGACACGUGGCGCAAUAUCACCGGGCACGUGCUCAGCCCGGACCUCCCCUUCUCCUUCCACCAGAUGAUGUACUACGGUUGCUACAAGGACUUCGGACCCGACCCGCCCGCCUGGCUGCCCGACCCGUAUGCUCUCUCACUCUUUUGAAAUUGAUAAUUAGACCGCGAAAUGAACUAGUAGCUUAAUUUUAAUAAUAAGCUUAAAUUUUUGUUAAUCUGUACUUUUUUCUGAUUAAAAUUAGUUUGUUUGUGUUAUUUUGGAAUUCCUUGUGUAAGAAGAAUCCUCAGGUUGACAGACAAUCCCUCAGGUUAAAAUAUUUUUUUUUUACUGCUUGAAUUCAUUGGCUGAUAUAUGAUUUGAUUGUUAUAUUCUGUCCUGCAAUCACUAAAUUCCUAUAUGAAAUAAAUUUAAUGGAAAGUUAUGCAUUAGCAGCAUUUGUAGUUCUUAUAUGGUUUGACAUGAUGAAAAAUUGGAAAAUUAACAACUUGGUUGCUGUGGACAUGUUAAAGUUUUAAACUUUACGAAGAAUUAGAGUCAGACAUGUUUUGGUUAUGUGUAUAGUUUCUGUAAACUUCUGAGUUUGUGUCUUGUUGUGUGGUAAGGGAGACUGCAGUUUUAACAAAUGCUGGCCGACUACUGGAGAGGCGGGGAAAAGAGUUUUUGGGUUCUCGAUAUAAGGAUCCCAUAUCCAGCUUUUCUGACUUCCAGGAAUUUUCGGUGUCCAAUCCAGAGGUAGGAUUUGUUUAACACUAAAGUUGCUUAUCUCAAAACAUUUGAUUGAUUUGUUUUCUAGUCGUUGUACAUAUCUACUUCCUGUUUAAUGGUCAGGUUUAUUGGAAAACUGUACUAGAUGAGAUGAAUGUGUUGUUUUCCAAGCCUCCGCAAUGUAUUUUGCGUGAGAAUCUGUCUGGAGAUGGGCAUUUAUCAGUUCCAGGAGUUCAGUGGCUUCCCGGAGCUUGUGUGAAUCCAGCAAGGAAUUGUUUGAGUUUGAAUUCUAAGAGGAGCUUGAAUGAUACAAUGGUAAUAUGGCGUGACGAAGGAAAGGAUGAUCUGCCUUUGAAUAAGAUGACACUUAAAGAAUUGCGUGCAGAGGUUUGGUAUGCUAUUCAUGAUCCUCUAAGCUUUGUCCUGUUGAAGUCAUUUCCAACAAUUUUAAUAGACUUGAGUGAUUUUAUCUUUCUAAUGAGAUCUUCUUUUGAUCUUAUAAUCCAUAGGUUAGUUGCACAUGCUCUACAAGCACUAGGUCUGGAGAAGGGAUCUGCAAUCGCAAUUGAUAUGCCAAUGAAUGUCAUUUCCGUAGUUAUCUACCUGGCUAUUGUUCUGGCAGGUUUUGUAGUUGUAUCAAUCGCUGAUAGUUUUGCUCCUCCUGAAAUAUCAACCAGACUAAAAAUUUCGGAGGCAAAAGCCAUAUUUACCCAGGUUCAUACCCUUCUGUUGGAAAAGCUGAAUUUUUUUUCUUCCUCAGAUUAUGUGUAUUCUGGCUUCAUAAAUUGUACCUUUGUGUUUCCUCAGUUUCUUUUGCUUUGUUUUUGAUGGUAGGAUGUAAUAGUUCGUGGUGAGAAAAGUCUACCCUUGUACAGGUGAAGUACUGAAAUAGUUUAGCUAUGAGAUGACAUAGUCUAUUUCUGCUUUUGUUUUCAUAUGUGCCUCAUUGUAGUGUCAAUUGUGCAGUAAAAUCAAGGAUGCUCAAUCUCCUAUGGCUAUUGUUCUCCUUACAAAGGGUUCCAAUUCCAGCAUGAAAUUGCGUGAUGGUGACAUUUUUUGGCAUGAUUUUUUAGAAACAGUAAAAGAUUUGAAGUAUGUACUAUACUUUAUUAUUGUUUACUUUUUACUUCUAAUUUUUAUCAGUGUGUAAUUUAAUAAGGUUAUUAAGCGUACUUUAUUUUCCUUUAGAACAUACUAUACAGUGAAUAUGUGCUUGAUAUGCGUCGGUGUUUCAUUCAUUUAUAUGAAGUUGUGAUUCAAAAUCAUUUUGAAAACUCUUGGCGUACAAACUGAAUCUAGUGUCCCCCUUCUGUUAUGGAGUAUGGACUAGUUUCUUCUUUAACCUUGUAAUGCUGAGCCUGUGUGUGUAUUGUUAGAAUUACUUGAGCGUAUCUUGAAAGAACCUAAUACUUAGUGAGGCUCUGAUUUUAAUGUAGCAUCUGUUUGUAUUUCUCUCAAUCCUACAGAAAUGAAUUCACUGCUGUGGAACAACCUGUAGAAGCAUUUACGAAUAUCCUCUUCUCAUCUGGAACUACUGGUAAUUUGAACAUUGAAGCUUAGCUUGACAUGUGCCACAACUCCACAUUUUUACAUGACAAAGUGAAUUUCUUUAACAAAACUUCUAUUAAGCAUUUCUUUAACAGUCUUAAUUGUGUCCUUGAUGUUGUUGUAGGGGACCCAAAGGCAAUUCCAUGGACCAAUGCGACUCCUUUCAAAGCUGCUGCAGAUGCCUGGUGCCAUAUGGACAUUCGUAAAGGUGAUAUUAUUGCUUGGCCCACAAAUCUUGGGUGGAUGAUGGGCCCUUGGUUGGUAUAUGCUUCUUUGUUAAAUGGUGCUUCCAUUGCCCUAUAUAAUGGAUCUCCACUUGGACCUGGCUUUUCCAAGUUUGUUCAGGUAAUCCUACUAUAGGUGAAAACAAAAAUUGUUGGCUUUCACAUAAUAAUCUGCAUUUAUGGUAAGAAUUCUCACUAGGUUUUGUUGUUAUUCAUAUUGCUGAAGUUCCCCCCAGCUAUAUGCCAACCAGAAUAGCUGCCCUUCUGUGAAUGCUUGAAUAUAUUAGUGUUAGAACAGACCUUCCUAUCUGCUAUUUCAACAAUUUCCUACUUGCAAGCACCAUAAGUUUUCCCCAUCAUGGAUGUACUCAAUUUUUACCAUAAAGGCUUGAAUAAAAUGUUUUGGAACUGCAUAGUGGACUCGUAACAAAAUUGUUGCCCAUGUCUAUGGUAUAUUAGUCCACGGAGUGAAGUAUAGUAGAUUAUAAGCAUCCGAGAAGUGAAUGCUUUCUGACUAUUGAAACUGUUUCUAUCUGUCUAGGAUGCCAAAGUAACAAUGCUUGGUGUAAUCCCUAGUAUUGUUCGGACAUGGAAAAGUACAAAUUCUACUUCAGGCUAUGAUUGGUCUGCCAUUCGGUAAGUUUAAGCUGCCUUUCUUGGUAUCUACCAUAUUGGUUUGGACAUCUGGUUUCAUGGGUUGUACUAUAACUUGUAUAAUGUUAAUCAUGAGUUUUUCUACUGGUUUUGCUUUAUAUUAUAUAUCCAGUCAUAACUCGUUUUCUUUUUCUUUUUCCUUCCCAUGAAAUCUGGCAGUUGCUUUAGCUCCACCGGUGAAGCAUCAAAUGUAGACGAAUACCUAUGGCUAAUGGGGAGGGCUGGCUACAAACCUAUCAUAGAGUAUUGUGGUGGUACAGAAAUUGGCGGUGCCUUUGUUUCUGGCUCAAUGUUGCAGGCUCAGUCUUUGGCUUCUUUUAGCACUCCAGCUAUGGGCUGCAGUUUGUUUAUUCUUGGUACUGAUGGAAGUCCAAUUGUAAGUACCAACAGGCCUCAGCUUCAGAUGAAUUUUUUGUUUUGUUUUUGUUUUUCUUACUCAUCAAUUUAUACUAGCUAGUAAGUAUUCAAUAGCAAUGCACGGUAGACACAGAUAACGUAUCGCACAAUAUCCCUAAUUUCUUUGCCAACAAUUUUGAUUGGCUAUUGACAAUGUUGAGUAAUCUUUAAUGAUAUUUUAUCAUGUUCUGGAAUUCUUUCGGCUCAUGUUUAGUUACUCUAAUCUCCAUCUUUUCUUGCAGCCACAAAAUGAACCAGGGUUUGGUGAACUGGCUCUUGGUCCUCUCAUGUUUGGAGCUUCGAGUACGCUGUUGAAUGCUGAUCAUUAUGAGGUUUAUUACAAGGGAAUGCCAUCAUGGAAUGGGAAGGUAAACAACUCUAUUCUCCACUCUCAAACCAGUAUACCUUCUACAUCACUUAAAUUUCUGAUCUUCACUCGCAGGUUUUGAGAAGACAUGGGGAUUUGUUUGAGAGGACCUCCAGGGGUUACUAUCAUGCUCAUGGUCGCGCAGAUGAUACAAUGAAUCUUGGAGGCAUCAAGGUAUAGGAAAUAUGAUUUUGAAAAGGAACUGCAUGUUGAAUGUGCACAUGAAAUCUGACUUCCUUAGUCCUGACUGUUAUCAGCAGAUAGCACUGUUCUGACUUUUCUGUUUAUUUUGAUUGGCAGGUUAGUUCUAUUGAGAUUGAACGAAUCUGUAAUGCAAUUGACACCAACAUCCUCGAGACAGCUGCUAUAGGCGUGCCGCCUGCUGGAGGCGGACCGGAGCAGCUGGUAAUUGCUGUUGUGUUUAAGAACUCAGAUAAUCCACCUGCAGACUUGAAUCCAUUAAGAGCAUCCUUCAAUUCAGCUGUGCAGAAGAAACUAAAUCCAUUGUUCAAGGUAUGCUUCUCACUGCUUUAUUUUAAAACAAUAACCUCAACCAUCACAUAUCCACAGUCUAUUACACGCUUAACAUUUCCUCGCCACUGCAGGUUUCUAGAGCUGUGCCUCUCCCUUCUCUUCCAAGAACAGCAACAAAUAAGGUCAUGAGACGGAUUCUGCGGCAGCAGUUUGCUCAACUCGACCAAGGUGCUAAGCUAUGAAAGUACGAGGGAAGAGUUGCUUUUGCCUUAUACAACACCAAGCACUCUUGAUGCAGACAAUGUUUUGUUAUUUUACAAUAAUAACCUUCUUGUACAGCUUCCCCAAUAUAUCACAAGUCUCUUCUGGAAAACUAUAUAUUGUUACAAUCCAUAUAUAUUAAUGUCUUCCCAUCCUAGUCAUCCAUAUAAAUGAUAUAAUACGUGUAAAUACAUAACAACCAUGUACUAACACUUUUCAUGUUUUAGUGAAAACUUUUAUAUACACGGUGGUGUAAGUUCACGGUAUCUUCACCAUCAAUAUGUUGGUUAAGUUAACCAUUCAUCUAUAUUAAUAUCUUACGAUUUUAGCCAUUCACACAAAAUUUAAGAAAAAUUAUAUGUUGGGCCUUUGGGCCAAUUACAUCAAAACCUAGGAGAAAAACCCAUUAAAAAAGCAAUGAUACCCUGUGGUCGUGCGUAGAGUAAGAUAGUAUAGGUCGGUUAGUUGUUGAAAAACACAAGGCAGCGGAUAUAGUUGGUUCCUCUUUAAUCAGAGCUCCGUUUUGACUCACAGCUAUGGCGACCAUGGCCUCUCUCGCCGUCGCCGCCCCCAAUUUCACGACCUCCUUCCUCGGCAAGAAACUGUAAGCCCCUCACUAUCUCUCUCUGUUUCUCUCUGUGAUUCUGUAAAUUGAUUUCGAUUAUUUUUUUUGUUAUUUCUAGUAGCUUUCGUGAAAAUACGAAGCUGCAAAAGAGUUGCUCCUUCCUGCGAAACCCUAGGUGUGCAGCUACAUCCUAUGGAGGUAUUCCUUUCGACCUUUUUUUAGAUGUAUUUUUACUGCUUUGAUUAUGUUAAUUAGAUUACGCAAUUGGAUUCGGUUUUAUUCUCCAAAUGAAAGUUAGUGAAGAAUUUGAUGGAAAUUGCAGGCUUCAGCUUUCUCUAGGGACAAACGAACUUGGUUUAGUCUGCACGAAUUGAUUCAGUUAUUGGUUGAGAAUUAGUGUGACAGUGUGAUGUCUAUUCAGGAUUGGAUAGGUUGUGUUAGUACAUUUAUAUAUGUCGAGCUUUUGAAGCUCCUUGUGAGUGUGUUGAUGCCGUAAUAUAUGGUUUGGUGAUUGCUGGCCAUUGUUAAUUUCUUCUCCGCAUUUUAUAGGUAAUACUCCCAAGUUCCCUCGGGUCAGUGUUUGGGAUCCAUAUAAGCGUCUUGGUGUGAACCAGGAUGCUUCUGAGGAGGAGAUUUGGGGAUCGCGCAACUUUCUAUUGCAACAGUAUGCGGGACAUGAGAGAAGUGAGGAGUCAAUUGAAGCUGCUUUCGAGAAAAUAUUGAUGACAAGCUUCAAGCAGAGGAAGAAAACAAAAAUCAACUUGAAGAGCAGGUUAAAGAACAAAGUUGAAGAGUCUCCACCUUGGGUUAAGAAUUUGCUCAGUUUUGUGGAAAUUCCAGCCACUGAAGUUAUUUUUAGAAGAUUGUUCCUCUUUGCAUUCAUGGGUGGCUGGAGUAUUAUGAACUCAGCUGAAGGGGGACCUGCUUUUCAGGUUUGUUCCAACUUUUACACACUGAUCAGUAAUGCUCUUUUGUUUUAUCAUUGUGCAUCUUAUCAGUUCUGUUAUCAGAGUGAAUCUUCAGUCAUACUAAUAAAAUGUAGGAUAAGUUGGUGAGAUAGGAAGUAUUGGACCUUGAGAUAGACCUAGACCUUUAUGCACUUAGCUUACACCGCCUUUUGACAGCACUCGAGUGUCCUACUAAAUAAUAUGUGAAUUUUAGAACUGCAUGCUUCAAGUGCUUUUCUACCAUAAUAGAUACUGCACUUUCCUCAUUGCUGAUAAAUACAGGUUCAAAUAUGAAAUAUCAUCUAUAUUUGGAAUCUUGGUGCCCCUUGUUCUCUCACUUCUCUGUACUAAAUGAAAUAUCUAUUACUACAGGUGGCUGUGUCCUUGGCAGCUUGCAUAUACUUCCUAAAUGAUAAGAUAAAGAGCUUGGCCAGAGCUUCUGUUUAUGGGUAAAAUUUCUGUAAAUACUAACCGUGGCUAUAGUUCUCUGCUCUCUCCCUCUUCUCAUCUCAUAUUUACACAAUGGUUCAAUUGCAGACUUGGAGCACUCGUUGCAGGUUGGGUGUGCGGUUCAAUCUUGAUUCCAAAUAUUCCUUCAAUGUUCUUAAACCCGACUUGGACUCUCGAACUUCUAACGUCACUAGUAGUUUAUGUGUUCCUGUUCCUUGCUUGCACUUUUCUCAAGUAAAACUAUUUUGUCUGGACACAUCAUUCGAAUUUAUGUUAUUCGGUAGGUUGCAAACUGAGCCAAACUCCAUUUUCGAUAUAUCGAGGUCUAUGUUUUGGGGUUCUCUGAAACUUGGGCUCUGAAACUUGGGACUUGGGAGUUUGAAAUCCCAAAUUCCCAAUUGUGCAUCUCUGUUACAAUCGUCUUCAUCAAAUGGCUCUCACGUUAGAGUCAUUCUUUCUGACUAGUUGGUUCUUUGUUUAUGCACAUUCAUGUACGAUAACACUGGAUUUGAUGAGGACAAACAGACGUAGGUACUAAACAAUAUAGUUCCAAGUAAAUUAUACGAUGCAAUGAUUUUGAUGAGCUUGAACAGACGUUACAAACUGAAAAAAGUACUAAACAAUAUAACUUCCAAGUAUAUCAAAUAACUAGGUUCUGCAGUGAAGAUGAAUGUAAAAACAGCACACCUACACGGCUACACGAAUAAGAAUAAUUCUAAGUUACAUUGGCUAAACAACAACUAACUAAAAUCAACGCUAGCGUUCAAGGCCCGCGGAACUUGCUGUUGUUGUAAGUGCUGAAGCGAUUGUUCUUGGUAGCACAGCAGCCAACGCAGUAGACAAGGGUAAGGAGCACAAGAAUACAGCAGUUGAGUAUGGCGAGAGACCGCCACUGCUUGCGAAUGUUGGCCAGAAUUCCUCCUUUGCAUGACUUGCAGUCGUAGCACAACCUGCUCUGCUUGUUACUCCAAGUUAGGCAGUCAGUGUCCGGCUCUUUAGGUCCAGACUUCGGAAUCGCCCAGUAUGUUGCAUUCUUGAAUUCAUAUCCGCAGUAGGAUGGUGGCUUGCAGCAACCAGACUGUUUAUAUCAAACACACGUAAAAGCUUAUGAUUAGUACAAAGUUCAAGAAAGCAUGGCACAUUUUCACAAUGUAUAGAAAUCGCAUAUAUAUGGAUAUACACUAUACAAGUACUAGUAAAAGAAAUUCAUAAGGAUGAUGAAUCCUGAUGCAUGUAUUCCAUGCAAAACUUUGUCCACCAACAAUUAGAUUCUAAACUUGAUAAUUUGAAUGAAUAUUUUGCAUACAGAACCGUAAAUCGCUGACCGUAAAUAUUUUGCAUACAGAACCGCAAUUCGUAUCGAACAUAAAAAAAAUCAGGUAUAUGAACAUUGCACACGACAUUACAAUUACAAGGGGAAUCACAGAACCUAAAUGAUCAGUUAUCAAUUUUUCAAUAGAAACACAAAAAGAACGAAGAAUCCUAUCUCCUUUUUCGACUGCAUGAUAGUGAUGAUUCAAGCAAAUCUACUCGGAUAAACUUUACUGAUUACCAUAUCUUUAUAUUUUCUUAAUAAGUUAAACUCGAAUAGCAAUUUAAAACCUCAGUAACUAUGAUUAGAUCACAGAUAUCACCAGAUAUCACAUAACUUAAUUAUAUACCAAAGUCCAACUAAAAAGUUCGUCCAAAAAUAAAUAUAUCAGUAAAUUAAAAAGGGAAAAAAUCCACAUACCUGAAUCGGAGACAAGUUCUUCCUAUAAAAAUCGGCCUGAGUCUGAUGAACAUCGCCACCGAGACUCUUACAAACCUGAGCAUCCACUAGACAACUCUUGAUCGGCUCCCAGUUUUUCCCAUUAACAACGUAAUGCUGAAGCCAAUGCGAGAAGUCUCCGACCUUGUACUCCUUGUACCCUCGUCCCGACACGGCCUGUCCGAUCCCCUUGUUCGUCACGAACAGAGCGAACACGGUGAGGGCGAUGAAUCCGAGGAUGAGGAGAAAGAUCAAGACGAGGUAGGUAUAGAGGAGAGAGUUGAGUUUGCAGCACGAGCCGGCGAGGCCGAGGAGGGACACGACGACGAAGACGAGUCCGGCGAAGAGGAGAGGGUUCUGGAGGACCUUCUGGCACAUGGUGCCGCCGUGGAGGUGGAAGUAGAUCGACGCGCCGAUGGAGGCGAGUCCGAGGAGGAGGAACAUCGCGUUCAGGAUCCCGAUCACGGUGUUGCUUAUACGUAACAUUGUGAAAAGGUAAAACUAGGUCGCAGGUUGUCUCUGUCUUGUGAGAAUUGUUAAAUCAAACCCUAGGAUUUGAGAAUGAGAGAAACAGAGGAGACGGUUGUGUAUUUAUCUGGAUUUCUGGAGUGAGAAACUGUUUUAUAGAAGGAGUUGAACACCUACGUAAAACGGUUGCAUUCGGAUUUUGAAUCUUGGUUUUGGACGUGGACAAUAGGUGGCGGGUGGAGAGGAUGACACGUCAUCAUUGCCGGUUGUGUGAGAGGGGUGAAAGGACCGAAAUGGGGUUGGAGGGGGAUUUGAAAAGGGGACGUGGGAUAACCGAGUCUCGUUCAUGUACGUAGUGGACGCCUUUUGUUUAGAGGCGACGGUUAGGGUUUGGUUGACGGGAAGCUACGACUAGUUAAACCUACUACUUGUUUUGAAUAUACUUUGUUUGUGCUUCGUCUGUUUAGGUUUACACUUGUCGGAAUAUACUUUUUUCUUCUUCUUUCUGUUGUAUCUGUGGAUCAAUGUGCCGGAGAAGUUGGGUAUUUGGAGAAAGAGAGCGAGCUAGGCAGGACCGUGUGUAGAAGGAAUGGUGUGAGAAUGGUUGGUUUGGCAUUGGAGAAGUGAUUAUUUUCGGAGGAUUUUUGACUACUUGAUGCGAAUUUGGGACAUCUGUCUUUAUGAUACAUGGAGGGUCGAGAUCAAUCGAUAAUUGUUUGUAGCUUGUAGAGAACUUUGAUAUUUGGGGUUCGUGUUUGAAGUUCAACCUUAUAUUUUGGUGGUGUACUGAUGACAAUUGUUGGCUAAUGAUGAACAAAGCAGUAGGUCGUUAUGAUAGAAUCGAAAGAGAUAGGAGUUAGAUUCUUGAGGUGGAGUUUUUGUGGUAAUUUGAUCGGGGUUUUGUAGGUGUUAGAUUGUGAUAGGAAGAAAAGAUGGACAUAAGAAGGAUGAUAUGAUAUGAUACAGCCUCCAUUUGUAAACUUCUUUGUCAACUAUCUUCUUCUGUUAUUGGUAUGUUUUGCUUCCUAGAAUAUAAUCAUAUAUAGCAUAAUCUGUUUCAUGCAAGGGAAGUAUGAAUACAUAAUGUGCGGGCUUUGAUCUUCAGGUUAACAUUUUCAAAUCGAUUGAUUUACAUGUCUCGUGAGUGUGUAUGUAACUAUGUACGUUGGUCAUUUCUACUAAUUUUGUAUAGACAAGGAAAGACUAACUGAGAGCUGCUCUAGCCCUACGUGAUCAAACCAGUGAACAAACUAAACCUGAUCGACAAUAUAAAGAUCGAUCAGAAAAACGUUUAGCAUAAUUCAUUGUCCUUGCUGGCCAUAAAAUUGCGACACUGUUGGGAAGAGAUAGUACUAUGAGAAGCGGCUUGCAUGCAACACUAGUACAACUGUGUGGGAUUAAUUUCGUAGGGUUUAGGGUUAACAUACAUAUCAAUAAGCUUGUUGAUUGGGAACUCAUGUAGGAACUCGAUCAGGACAGUAAUUCAGGUGCCUAGCUUCUCCAUGCCAUUAUCAUAAAAGGAUACGUACAUCUACAAUAUGUACACCUGCAUUUCAGGUUUCUCUUCAUUGUCGAAUGAUAAUGAUAUACCUACGAUAGUCAUGCAAUCAAUCAAGAGAUGCAUUAUUCAAGAUCUUACUCGGAUUACAGGUUAGUGAAGUAUAUAUGAAUAUAGUGAUGAAUUUACCGUCAAGAAUGAAUGAACCUCAAAAAAGACUAAAAUCAUUUUAAAACUAUGCAUAUAUAUAUAAUUAAUCUCAGUGGCCGUAUUUACAUGUAUCUUACAAUGUUAAGUUAUGAUGUUUAUAGCUACUCGUAUGCAGCGGAAAAAAUUAUCGUAACUUUUAACGACACAUUGUGUUCAAACUUUUCUAAAUGUUGAAGAUUAUUUCUUUAAAUUUGCAUCAUCAUUCAUCACAUUUGAAAGACGAUUCUAAGAUUCUGAUUGAUGCCUUAAAUCAUCACACUGAAGUUCCAUGACGGAAGUUUCUCGUCCAAGAUCUCAAAAACUUAGUUGCUUAAAGCAUCUCCAAUGAUCUUGUUUAUUUUUUUUGUCAAAUUUGAAUUUGACAUCUUACAUGGCAAAUGACAUUUUGCUACAAUUUCUCCUCCAACCAAGAUGUUAAAUAUAUGUAUUAUUUUAUUAAGGGAGAAAGAAGAGAGAGAAAUAAAUAUACAGGGAAGAAGAGAGAAAGGGAGAAGGAAGAGAGAGAAAGAACAAUAAAGAAAAACAAUACCAUUCUCAUGGGUUGUGUCAAACUUGACAAUGUAUCUGAAAAAUGUCAAUCACGUGUCAUUCAUGUGGAUUUGACACUUUGGUUGGAAAAGAUUGCAUUAGUCAAUUAUUACCGUUGCUCUGUGCACCUGACAAAUAACCUGAUCGUUGGAGAUGCUCUUAGUUUGAAUUGAUCUACUUUGUUUAUGUGUGGAUAGAAACCAAGUUCUUGCUGAUGUUAGAGCUAAUUUAGGCCAUUUCUUUCAUUCUUUUAUUUUAUGGUCGAAUCAGUUACCUAUGUUGAUACAGUCUGCCUUCUACUUUGAUCAAAUUAGAGGUGGGUGUCGUUGAGGUUUUUUGUUGUUGUACUUUUUUUUUUCUCUCUUAAACAAAAAAAAAAAAACAACGCAUUUGAAAAGAAAAAGGAAAAAAGAAGAAGAAAACGAGAGAUGUAUAUAUGCCUAUACGGGUCCUACCCGCUUCCUAUGCCAAAACCCCAAAAACCCAGAGUCGGCGAUGCAGAGACAGCUCUCAAACAAGCUCAGUUGGAAACCCAUCUAUGGGUUUGCUCAGUUCACUCAAAGGGUUUGUCUUUCAGUUCUUAUUUUUUCCACAUAACCUGAAACUUGGUUGAUAAAUGGUUUUGGGUUUGAUUGGUUUUGCAGAGAGCGAUGCACGAUAGGAACAAGAAGGCGAUGGAGUUGAUAGCCAAAGGGUGGAGCGCUCUGAAGGAAGUUGAUAGAGUCAUCGACUAUUGCGAGCUCAACGAUCGCCGACUCAUUCCUCUAUUAAGGGUCUGUCUCUAAUUUACAUGACUUCAUUUUUCGGUUCAUUUUACAUUUUGAGGGUGAUGUGGUGAUGGAUACUUUAUCAACAAUUAAGUAUUGGUCUCAAUACGUUUGAGUUGGAAAAGUAAUGGGAACCCAGAAAGUUGGUGUCUUGAUUAGUAAUGUGAAUUGAAGAGGAAAAUGUUCUUUCCGGUUUUGAUUUCCAUGUGUUCUUAAGCGAUUUAUAUGCUUUUGUGUUUAUGAGAAAAUGUGAGAAACAAAGAGGAACCAAAUUCGAAUUUCGGUUAUGAUGGUAUUGGCUUUUGGUUUUGGGAGGGAGAGGGGUAAUGUUUAUAAUGAAAGGGUACUGUAUAAAAUUCAUGAUUUGCUCGAUUGCCAUCAUUAGUCAAUUUGGUGUUGGUUGAUUGUUGGCUAAGAUCUAGGCUUCCAAAUCAGAGGCAAUAUAUGGAGUAUCAAUACACCCCCUCCCUUUCGAUCACAGUAUAAGCUUUUGUUAAUGAAAUGGGAUAACAGAAAGAAAAAGUCUCUGUUCUGACACAAUUCUUUUGAUCGCAUCAGGCAGCAAAGGAAAACUUUGAGUUGGCUCUAGAGACUGACAACUCUAAUACCCAUGCCAGGUAUUGGUUGUCCAGAUUGCAUUUGAAAUACCAUGUCCCAGGGGCGUGCAAAGCGAUGUAAGUGUACUUGCUGAGAAGUCUUGCGUACUUUUUUCUUCGUUAGUUUAUGUCACUUCACUGAUGGUGGUCUGCGUUCCCAACAUUAAUAUUCUGUGUUGUAUCAUGGGGCAUACAAGCAAAUAAAAGGAUGUCAUGUGAUUGAUAAUUUUGCUGUUUUCUUCACAACAGAGGAGCUGCCCUGUUAGUUGAAGCCGCAAAUAUGGGUGAUGCAGAUGCACAAUAUGAACUCGCUUGUCGUCUUAGAGUAGAGGUAUAAACUCUAAGAAAGUUUUAUCACUGCUGCUCCUAACAAAAUUUGUAUGUGAAGUAUAUUUGUUCUAUCACUUCUAUGUGUUUUGCUCCCAAUCUGUGAAUUUUGAUGACUCGUGAAAAUUUUUCCCUACUAGAUCAAUAUUCUUUUGUUCCGGGUUGGAAUUUUCCAAUUGUUUUUAUUGUACUUUCUUUUUCCUCUGAUAUUCUUAAUCAUUUUAUUAUUAAUUUAUGAUGCUUACUUGCUUGGGUGCUUUUUAGAAUGAGCAUGUGCAAUCGGAUCAGCAAGCUUUCCAUUAUUUGGAGAAGGCAGUUGACCAGGUAGUUUUCAGAAUGUUGUUGCAUAUAAUAGUGCUUCCAGCCUUCCAGAAUAUAUUUCCAAGUCUAACUGGAGCUCGGUAUUCUUUCAGUUGCAUCCAGGUGCUCUAUACCUUCUGGGUGCUGUGUAUCUGACUGGAGACUGUGUCAAGAAAGAUGUUGCCUCUGCCUUAUGGUGUUUUCAUAGGGCAUCAGAGAAGGUAAUGCAGCUCCUGUUUCUGCUAACGCAGUUUUGGACCAUGAUAGUUAUUGGGAUUCAUUAUGGUAAACUAUUGUCCUAGUUGGAGACUUCUGUUAAAUUUGAUCUGGUUUAGCAGUUAUAGGUAUUUGGUGGGCAGAACUGUUGAUCUCUACAUGGGCAUAGGUUACUUGAUAUAUUGUUUCAUUUACCUACCUCAUUUACUGAAAAUGUUUACAUAUUUUGGCUUGAGCAGCACCGUCUUGUAUUAACAAUUGAGUGCUAACUGCUAAGCAGUCUGGCUCUCACUCCCUCUUAUAAAAGGAAGUGUCAUUUUAUUUUUUUACAACUAGCAAUAUGUCAUGCUCAUAGGUUUGACUUUACUUAGAGAUAGAAUUGGAUGCUAUCCCAAAGUGAGAAAGAGAAACAUAAAUUGGGGGAGAUAACUAUUUGCACACCAUUGAAUCAGUCCAACAUGGUUAUUAUCUACAAAAUAAAUCUUGAUAAGUUUGUUCAACAAGUCUGAUCCUCUCAGGCUCUACUGAGAAUAUCAUUGUUUCUCCAACUAGAUCGCUGUUUUAAAAUGUUCUUUCUUUUAAUAAUUUUCAGGGUCAUGCUGGUGCAGCUAUAGCAUAUGGGUCUCUUCUUCUUCAAGGUCUGUUCUUCCCCACCAUGCUUCUUUUGAGUACAGGCCGUAGGUUCAUUUCAAUGAGGAUCCUUUCAAUGAAGGGUGAUUCUUUGUAUGUAUAAGGAAUGAUAGGAUGCUUGCAGCCCGACUUGUAUUUCAUUCCCAAUUUGUCAUGAAUUUUUACCCUUUAGUGGCAUAUUUGCAUAUCGUAGGUGUUCAAGUCCCAGAAUCUGUGACAAAGUCAACUUCAAAAAGGGGUUCUUUAGCCAGAAAGGCAAGAAAAGAUGCAGAAAGCCUUGUAAGAGACCAGGCAGGAAUGGCAAGAGAGCGGUUUCAGAUCGCUGCAAAAGCAGGAUGUGAUCUUGGACUGAAAUGGUUGGAAAGACUUGACGAGGAAGAGAAGCAUCUAUUGACCGGAAAUGAAAUGGUAGAAGAUGCCUAAGGAGGAAAGAAGGUGUGUUAAUCGUUCACUAUACCGACCAGACAAAGUUUGUGGAGUUAUCCUCGCGCGUGUAAUAACUGAUUGGGGAUAACUCGUAUCAUAAACUGAUUUGGGUCCAUGUAUACAUGGUACAAGCCAACAAAAGAAUUCAAAUCCUGCUCUACUGGGCAUCUACUGGGCAUGAAGCUUGCUUGAAUAUCCUCAAAAGUUGUUGUCAUGAUUCAUGAAUAACUGAAAAUGUUAUAGUGCAUUUUGUAUAUAUAUAUAAGUGCAUUUUUGACACUUCGCAAUAGCCAAAUGCUAGCACCAAGUAAUAGAUUUUUGGCGAGUAUUUGCUAGAGCUUUUUGUUCAUUAGGAUUUCUACGUAGUUUAUUGUCCAUUAUGGAUUCGUACCUACUAUGGUUUCAUUUUGAAAUCCUUAUAAACAAGUCUCUAAUUAUCUUCUAGCAAUCUUCUCAUUGUAAAGUAAGUAUCCGUCGUUCCGUAAAUACAUCACCUAUUGUUGCACAAAGGUGCUGGGUGUUAGUCUAGGGGAGAGAAAAAUGUCUGCCAAGCCACAAAUGAUUUUUAAUUAGCUCCAACAUCUCAUAUAAACAUCAAAUUACAUGAUUUCGUUGUAUUGUAUUACAUUAUCUACGGUUGUAAAAGUACAUACAUAUGUGAAAGUCAUAUCAUGGAACAAUGAAAUACAAAAAAGAAAUGCAAUGAAGGUGAGUGCAACAUGUAUCAUGUACAAGAGCAAAAAAAAGAGAGAUUGGUUUCACCUGAGCAAUAAAGGUUGAUUUCUCAUGAACAAGAAAGGUUGAUUUUGUUAUCAACAGUCAUGUUCGCAUAAUCAGUAACUUACCAAGAGAUUCAUGGUCAGUCACUGUUAGAUUUGAAUCCAAAUGGUGAAAAAAUUAUUUUUUAGUAGAGUUGUUUUGUUUUCAACCUUUAAGGAGACGUUUGGCAGGGCAGACAAGAUUGGAAUAGGAUUUUAUACCAGAUUAGACUAAGACUAGAUUGGACAAGAAAUGUUAACAGGAAAACCAAUCUGGUGUUUGUUUAACAAGAUUAAGAUCUAGAUAACUACAAGAUUUAUAAAAAUAAAAAAAUUACAAUCGGUAGAACAUCUCUAAACCCAUCUCAGUUCUAAACCAAGAUUUGGAUCAAUUGGUCAUGACAACAGUCAUUCACGGCGGCGUUGACGGAGUAUCGUUGGUGACGGCAGCGAGCAGGGAAGUGGUGACAACAGCGACUGGUCACCUUCACUUUUUCCGAUUGUGAUUUUCCGGUUCCACUAACUUCGCCGCUUCUCGAAUCGUACUCCGAUUCAUGCACAAAGCUUAUGAAACUCCAGAAAUUAGAAAGGAAACCUAAACCUAGCGAUGAGGAUCCUCAACGACAAUGGCGUUGCCGUCGGUAGCGAUCUUGGCCUCCGAUUAGCGAUUGUUUCCCCUUUAAACACAACUCUAACCCCAGCCGCCACCACCACCGCGGCUUGCCAGAUCGCAGCUCUUCGUCGUCGUCCUGCGCCACCGACUCCGUUCUCAUCUUCGUCUUCUUCGCGGCGAGAAUGGUGUUGCAGAGCUCGAUGACUUGGUGUUCAGACAAACAAGGAAGUGAGAGAGAAUAUGAGAUUGAAGAUUCAGUUUUUUUUUUUUUCUUUUCCCUAUGAGGACGAAGCCUUGAAAUCUAGACGGAUAAGAAUAAUAACACCUUCUCAGGAGGAUUUGAAAUUAAGGUCUGACAAGAUUAAAAUUUUCUGCUUAUUCCAUAUCUGAACACCCAAACACAACUGCUAAUCAG
rnacentral:lncRNA from 1 species